CUCUUCUUUCCCCUUCCUUCCUCUCUUCUCCUUCCCCGCACAGCACCCGACCCCUCUCUAUUUCCCCUUCUCUUUUCUUCUUCACGCCCGUAGUAGUCUCACGCUGCCUCUCCCUCUUCCUUUCCUUCUCUUUUUCCCCUCUAGCACUCGCACACUCUAAGCACAGAGAGACAAGUUGAAGGAGAGCCCGAGUGUGGAAGAGGAUUCUUGGCCAUGGGUGGUGCGAUUUUUGGAGCUGGGUGGUCAGGCCACCGUCGUCGAAUGGAGACAGCAACUAGGGUCGUGAAUUCUAGCCCUGUUCUGACUCUGAUGCUUUGACUGCAGGUUCAGUGGAUUUAAUGAAUGACGUCGUAGCAUAGUACUUGGAUGUUAUGACUAAAGCCCGACGCAACAGUUAUAAUGGUUGGACCAUGGGUUGUCCACCUCUUGGUAGACUUUGUUUAUGGCUCGUGUCACCUGUGACACUUGUAUUUAUGGGCCAGUCUUUUGGUAUGUAUUUAAAAGCUAUGUAGAAGUCUUAAACAAAUAGACAUAUUAAUGGCUCUUUUGUUGUGAUUAA